ACUCAAAUGAAUAGACGGGGGCCCGCACAAGCGGUGGAGCAUGUGGUUUAAUUCGACGCAACGCGAAGAACCUUACCUGGAUUUGACAUGCACUCGAUCAGCAGUGAAAGCUGCUCUCUCUUCGGAGCGGGUGCACAGGUGCUGCAUGGCUGUCGUCAGCUCGUGUCGUGAGAUGUUGGGUUAAGUCCCGCAACGAGCGCAACCCUCGCCCUCUGUUGCUACCGGGUUAAGCUGGGCACUCUGAGGGGACUGCCCCGGUGAACGGGGAGGAAGGUGGGGAUGACGUCAAGUCCUCAUGGCCUUUAUGUCCAGGGCUACACACGUGCUACAAUGGCGCGGACAAUGGGUUGCUCCCGUGCAAGCGGUUGCCAAUCCCCAAAAUCGCGUCUCAGUUCGGAUGGUUGGCUGCAACUCGCCAGCUUGAAGCUGGAAUCGCUAGUAAUCGGAGAUCAGCACGCUCCGGUGAAUACGUUCCCGGGCCUUGUACACACCGCCCGU
rnacentral:rRNA from 1 species